rnacentral:rRNA from 1 species
CUGCUGCCUCCCGUAGGAGUCUGGUCCGUGUCUCAGUACCAGUGUGGGGGACCUUCCUCUCAGAACCCCUAGACAUCGUCGCCUUGGUGGGCCGUUACCCCGCCAACUAGCUAAUGUCACGCAUGCCCAUCCGUCUCCGGAGUCGCCUCCUUUGGCCGAAAGAAGAUGCCUCCCCUCGGCCACAUGCGGUAUUAGGCCGGAUUUCUCCGGGUUAUCCCGCUGAAACGGGCAGGUUGCAUACGCGUUACUCACCCGUGCGCCGGUCCGG